CGGCUCCAGGGCGCAAGCAACCACAGUGGAAGCUCAGUCAUCAGCUCCUGAAUGUAUGAAGAGCCAUCCAAGAAGUGUGGGUUUACCAGCCACUCAAGAGGAGAAAGUUCCAGGUAGACUCAAUUUGUUCUGACUGCACACACGGGUCCAGGGAGCAGAAGAACACAACUGAGUUGUAGAGAUCGUGAAACUGUGGCACACCCACGGCCGUCACCCGUGACUGAUCACAGCAGGACCAGAGGUGGCCCAAGGACCAUCUCAGCAAAGCCGCCCUGGCAGCCACCAGGCAGGACCAGAACUGGCACCCCAGGUGGAACCUAUCUGCUGUUCCAAUAGUGGGUGUGGGCUUCUGGACUAAGUUUGGUACAUUGGGCAUGAAUAAAAGCUCCUGAACCCUA